UACGUAGGGUGCAAGCGUUGUCCGGAAUUAUUGGGCGUAAAGAGCUUGUAGGCGGUUUGUCGCGUCUGCUGUGAAAUUUCGGGGCUCAACCCCGGACUUGCAGUGGGUACGGGCAGACUAGAGUGUGGUAGGGGAGACUGGAAUUCCUGGUGUAGCGGUGAAAUGCGCAGAUAUCAGGAGGAACACCGAUGGCGAAGGCAGGUCUCUGGGCCACUACUGACGCUGAGAAGCGAAAGCAUGGGGAGCGAACAGG
rnacentral:rRNA from 1 species